rnacentral:tmRNA from 1 species
GGGCUUGACCGGUUUUGACAGCGGGUAGAAGUGGUUUGUAAGCAUGCAGUGCGUCGUUGGCCGGCACUUAAAUCUCGGAUGACAAAAAUUUAACUGGCGAAAAUAAUUACGCUCUCGCAGCUUGACCGAAGUAUAGUAAGUCAUAGCGUUAUUUCGGUACAAGGUACCGGAACGAGAUAUCACCCGGAAGCUGUGGCUUCGAAGCAAUCCGAAAUGGUGGUACAGCAAUAUCGGAGAUAGUCGGAAAGGUGUCCCAACUUUCGGAUGAAAUGAAGGGAAUAAGCUUAAUAUUGGUGGCUUCGGUCUUGUGUUAAGUCGAAAAAUAAAGCGAAGAUAAGCAUGUAGAAAGCAGAUUAGUUCCUCGUUUGGACGAGGGUUCGAAUCCCUCCAGGUCCACAA